rnacentral:rRNA from 1 species
AUGAGCUCGGAGCCGGAGGUCGUCCACAGCGGCGGGUGCCACUGCCGGCGCGUGCGGUGGCAGGUGGAGGCGCCGGCGAGCGUGGUGGCGUGGGUCUGCAACUGCUCCGACUGCUCCAUGCGGGGGAACACCCACUUCGUCGUGCCCAAGGACAAGUUCGCGCUCCAGCCCGGCGCCGGCGACUUCCUCACCACCUACACCUUCGGCACCCACACGGCCAAGCACACCUUCUGCAAGGUGUGCGGGAUCACCUCCUUCUACAUCCCGAGGUCCAACCCCGACGGCGUCGCCAUCACCGCGGCCUGCGUCGACCCCGGCACCCUGGCGCACGUCGAGUACAGGAAGGCGGACGGGAGGAACUGGGAGAAGUGGAUCGAGGGGAGCGGCAUCUCCGAGUUCUCCAAGCCUAAGGCCGCCGAGUAG